GCAACAUGCUGAUAACGUUGCUCUAAAGUGGUCUUUUUCACAUUGCAGCAAUAUUGUCAAAUGAUGAAUAAAUGUUGAACCACCUACGAUGACAUUGCUAUAACAUUCAUGCUAUAGGCUAUAAUUGUCUGCCCUCUCGGGCUAUUUCUGAAGCCCAAAUAGAAAAGCCGGUACCAGCUAGAUCACUUCUCCUCACCAUUACUACAUUAAUUUUUUUUAUUUUUUGCUUCGAGCGCAAGCUUGCAUGUGGUGUGCAUACAGCUGGCGAGCAGUGCAAGUGUACUUAACUAUGUCACACUGAUGUAAAAAUAUAUACCUGUAUCGAAAAUAUUUCUAAACAGCUGAAAUAUCUGUUUUUUUAUUAAGCAGGCGGUCUAAAUAAAAACUGCCGAAAAAAUUGAGUUCUGGUUUCACUGACGCUCCGCAGUCUAAUGGCCAUGGAGAUCAUCACAAAUCCAAAUCGCGGUACAGCCGAGAGCCCAUUUCCUUCUUCCAUGCCUUCUUCCAUGCGACAGCCAGCCCUGCGACGCGCGCUCAUCUAAAAACGUGCCACUCAGCGGCAGUCGUGUCAAAGUCCGCGUUUUUUGUUGUUCUAGCAUAGUUUUUUUUGCAGUCGCCGUGCCUGUGCUUUUUUUCUUGUAGCUUCUCUGCAAUUCAACUGAAAUGGCGCAGGCUUGCUCCGAGGAUGACCUCAGUGGUAAGUGAUUUCUACUCAUUGUUGUGCUGUAACACGUGUUGGUUGGCACAAAGCCAUGCCCUUCGUGAUGGUUUUAAGUGCUACAUUCGUUGCAUCAUGAAGAGAGUGAAGCGUUCACUAAGUGAAGUGUCCAUUCGGCAACGACGCCGAAGAAUAGCAGAGGCUGUUCACGGCGAACUAGAAAAUUGUUUGGCCGUUGUUGAUAAUGGUCGUGACAGCAGAUUGUGCGCAUCAGGAGCAGAGCAGGAUCAAUACGCCUUUUUGUCGCAUAAUGUCGUUUUAUCCUCUUUAUCAGUGCCAGGCGAGGACGCAGAUGAAAGCCGCAGUUCCAACUUGUCAGAUUUUGGCACCUCUAGCGGCAUCUCUGACAUAGGAAGUGCAACGUCAGACUUGUCGCGGAUUUCUGACGAUGACGAGUUGGUGGAGUGUGAAGAUAGGAUGACACCUGAGUCUGGUGCAGCUACUCAGUGUCUAGAGUACGACUUGCGUGUAUGGGCUAUUAAUAGUAAAUUGCCUGCUUCACACCUGAAUUCCCUGCUUAAAGUGCUCAAGCCAUACCAUCCAGAGUUACCCUCGGAUGCUAGAACAUUGCUAAAGACGCAGAGGCAUACUGAUCUGGCAGUGAUGACCGGUGGUCGUUACCACUAUUUUGGAAUUUCUCGUUCUUUGGAAGAACAUGUUGCACAUGUUCCUGCAGAUUGUCGGACAUUGUCACUCAUUGUGAACGUAGACGGCCUUCCGCUCUCCCGCAGCUCGAGAAAGCAAUUCUGGCCGAUUCUCGUGCUUGUAAAGGAAAGUUCACACUCCUCUCCAUUUGUUGCUGCUCUCUAUGAGGGUGACAGCAAGCCUGGAGAUGUGACCUUGUACUUAAGUGAUUUUGUCUCCGAAAUAAGGAAGCUGCUUGAGGAGGGCCUUAUGUACAAUGGCAAGGUCUAUGCUGUGAAAAUCCAUGCAUUUGUGUGUGAUGCCCCAGCAAGGGCUUACAUCAAAUGCAUUAAGGGCCAUACAGCCUAUUUUGGAUGUGAAAGGUGCACUCAAAAGGGUGCAUACUCUGCACUUGACAGGAAAAUCAUUUUUGAUUCCCAUGACAGUCCCUUGCGCACUGAUGAAGAUUUCAGGAGCUUUGCCCAAGAACAUCACCACCAUAGCGAGUCUCCGCUGCAGUGUUUUGGUGUUGGGAUGGUCACACAGUUCCCACUAGACUAUAUGCACCUGGUUUGUUUGGGAGUAAUGAAGAAACUACUCAUUUGUUAUUGGGCUUCUAAAAAGCCAUCAGCUUCAAAAAUGUCAUCACAGUCAAAGCUUCAUGUAUCCACGAUGCUUGCUAGUUUUAACUUGUAUGUUCCAAGUGACAUGAAGCGCAGGCCACGAUCACUGCAAUUUUUGGAGCAGUGGAAAGCGGUUGAGUUUAGGAACUUUCUACUGUACUAUGGACCACUUGUCCUCCAAGGAAAUUUGGAAAGAAAGUUUUACGACCAUUUUAUGAAGCUUAGUGCUGCUAUUGCUAUCCUUGCAUGCCCAGAUUACGCAGUGCACAACGUGGACUUGGCGGAGCACCUUCUUCAAGAGUUUGUAGCUGAGGCUGGCUCCCUAUAUGGAAAGGGGAUCUAUGUCUAUAACGUGCACUCAUUGUUGCAUCUAGCUGACGAUGCCAGAAGAUUUGGCCCUCUUGAUGACUUUUCAGCCUUCGUUUUUGAAAACUUCCUUUAUAAACUUAAGACCCUAGUAAGGACGAAGGCUCGAGCUCUUCAGCAGGUUAUCAAGCGCCUCAGUGAGAAACGCUUUCUUAGUAAUGUUUCCACAGGUUCUCUCAAUUCAUACCCAAGACUGUCAGGAGAGCACUCUAAUGGACCUGUGCCACCAGGGUUUCAAGGCAGACAGUACUCUUUGCUAGAGUUUGAAGGAACUGUGCUAAAGCUUGGCAGGCUGGAUAAUUGUGUCCAGCUUAAAGAAGCUCACAUUGUAUUAGUAACUAAUAUGUUGCAAUCGGUGUCGGGGGCCAGCAUCUGUGGGCACUAUUUCACAACUUUGGCUGACUUGUAUUCGCAACCAUUGCCGUCUUCAGAGCUCCUGGUUUUUGCUGCUAAAGACCUUUCACAAGAUCUUUCUGUGUGGCCUGUUGAUGAAAUUAGAAAUAAAUGCAUGUGCUUGCCAAGCGGAGGAGAUAAUUAUGCAGUAUUUCCUCUAUUGCACACAUGCCAUGGUUUGGUCCACUGAAAUGAAUGGACUAAAUGAGACAAGUAUAGCCUGUGCUGGUAUACUUGCUAAUUUAAACUGUUCAUUUCAUUGGACCUGCUCUUCUCAAGGUCAUGAGAUUGAAUCCUUGCCACAGUGGCUACAUUUUGAUGGAGUGAAAAUGUGUGUGAUGUCAGUGCAUGUUAUAAAGAACACUGAGUGGUCAAAAAUUAAUUGGCAGCCUUCCGCUUUUGUGUUCUAAAAAAUCCAUGUGCAGCUUCGAAAUGUGAAACCUCUCAUUCCACCAUAUCAUUACCUGCAGUACAAGUGUAGCAGUUGCAUUGCUGAAUAAUAGGAAAGGCAAUAUUUUCGGGGAUCACUGGUUGAUUUCGUAAAAUAUAAAACUUGCCUAUCAGGGUAAAUAAGGCACAUGAAUUGAUUCACAAUGACGUGAGUUUAAAGGCGGGCGAGAGGCAUAUAGUGGAGGGCUGCUGAUAAAUUUUAACCACCAGUGGUUCUUUAAUCUGCACUGACAUCACUCGCCACAUACAUGUUUUUCACAUUUCACCUUCAUCAAACUGCACCCACCGUGGCUAGGAUUCCAUCGCAUUAAUUCAGUUUUCUUUGUUUUAUAAUUUCAGGGGGGAAGACAUACAGCAUCGUUCUUUUUGAAGAUGAAGAUGAAGUUUCCGUCGUGCCCACUUCGUGGAUUUCAGAAAACACAGUUAGGUGGCCACCAUUUAAGAGCACCGCAAAGAUAACUACUGCCAUCAAAGAGCAACAACCACCAUCAAGCGACUGGACUAGCUACAGAUGUCGAGUGUUGUGGACAUGUGCCAUGCUUGGAAAGUUGCUCAAGGAGGUGAAGGGAAUAAGAGCUCAGGUAGAUGGCCUGGAAAAAUCCAUCCAAAGGAUAGAGCAAGCCAUCACAGAAAAUAAACAACCGUGUGCACAACCUGUCAGCAGUGCCAUUCUU